UGCAUUUUCUAGGCAUAAAGGCAAAACAU
rnacentral:piRNA from 1 species